UCACCCAGGCAAAAGCUGGGGCUCAUUAUUUUGAAGGUGAUGAAUAGACACCAAAUAACAUCUGUGGAUCUGGAAGCUCCAGGACAGUGCUUUUUCUGCUGCACUGGCAAAAGAAUAUAAUUUAAACAUUGUUUUCCUUCCAGCUCCUUUCUCACCUCCACCAGUAAUCCUAAACUCUGUCAAAAUAUUUUCCCUUAGCAAGAAGUUCUGCCAAUGGUGAGACAGAAUUGGUCCAACAGUGAAACAUGAAGAACAGAAGGCUUUUACCUGUUGCAAAAGAUAUCUGAGAACCAGAGAUAAAAUAAGGACCCUGGGGCCUUGCUAUACAUUCAGAUUGCACAUGCAAUGAAGGAGAAUAUACAGCAAAUGGAAAGUGAGAAGUCCUUCCUGUCCAUAUGCUGGACUCAGGUGUAGCUGUGCUGGAUCAACAGCAGAAGUUGGAACUCCCUGCCAGGUGUGCCACAGAGUUGCUCAUG